rnacentral:rRNA from 1 species
AAUGAACGCUGGCGGCGCGCCUAAUACAUGCAAGUCGAGCGAGAAGACGUAGCAAUACGUUUGUAAAGCGGCGAACGGGUGAGGAAUACAUGGGUAACCUACCCUAGAGUGGGGAAUAACUAGCCGAAAGUUAGCUAAUACCGCGUACGCUCCUUGGACUUCGGUUCAGGGAGGAAAGCGAUACCGAGGGUAUCGCGCUCUUGGAUGGGGCUCAUGUCCUAUCAGCNGUUGGUGAGGUAACGGCUCACCAAGGCUUCGACGGGUAGCUGGUCUGAGAGGACGAUCAGCCACACUGGCACUGCGACAC